AUUGAACGCUGGCGGCAUGCCUUACACAUGCAAGUCGAACGGCAGCAUGAUCUAGCUUGCUAGAUUGAUGGCGAGUGGCGAACGGGUGAGUAAUACAUCGGAACGUGCCCUGUAGUGGGGGAUAACUAGUCGAAAGAUUAGCUAAUACCGCAUACGACCUGAGGGUGAAAGUGGGGGACCGCAAGGCCUCAUGCUAUAGGAGCGGCCGAUGUCUGAUUAGCUAGUUGGUGAGGUAAAGGCUCACCAAGGCGACGAUCAGUAGCUGGUCUGAGAGGACGAUCAGCCACACUGGGACUGAGACACGGCCCAAACUCCUACGGGAGGCAGCAGUGGGGAAUUUUGGACAAUGGGCGAAAGCCUGAUCCAGCAAUGCCGCGUGUGUGAAGAAGGCCUUCGGGUUGUAAAGCACUUUUGUCCGGAAAGAAAUGGCUCUGGUUAAUACCUGGGGUCGAUGACGGUACCGGAAGAAUAAGGACCGGCUAACUACGUG
rnacentral:rRNA from 1 species